UUGUUGGUAAGGUAAAAGCUUACCAAGGCUUCGAUCAGUAGCUGGUCUGAGAGGACGACCAGCCACACUGGGACUGAGACACGGCCCAGACUCCUACGGGAGGCAGCAGUGGGGAAUUUUGGACAAUGGGGGCAACCCUGAUCCAGCCAUGCCGCGUGAGUGAAGAAGGCCUUCGGGUUGUAAAGCUCUUUCAGCCGGAACGAAACGGUUACGGUUAAUACCCGUGACUACUGACGGUACCGGAAGAAGAAGCACCGGCUAACUACGUGCCAGCAGCCGCGGUAAUACGUAGGGUGCGAGCGUUAAUCGGAAUUACUGGGCGUAAAGCGUGCGCAGGUGGUUUUGUAAGUCAGAUGUGAAAGCCCCGGGCUCAACCUGGGAACUGCGUUUGAAACUACAAGACUAGAGUGUGGCAGAGGGGGGUGGAAUUCCGCGUGCAGCAGUGAAAUGCGUAGAGAUGUGGAGGAACACCGAUGGCGAAGGCAGCCCCCUGGGUCAACACUGACGCUCAGGCACGAAAGCAUGGGGAGCAAACAGGAUUAGAUACCCUGGUAGUCCAUGCCCUAAACGAUGUCAACUAGUUGUCGGGCCUUUACGGGCUUGGUAACGUAGCUAACGCGUGAAGUUGACCGCCUGGGGAGUACGAUCGCAAGAUUAAAACUCAAAUGAAUUGACGGGGACCCGCACAAGCGGUGGAUUAUGUGGAUUAAUUCGAUGCAACGCGAAAAACCUUACCUACCCUUGACAUGUAUCGAAGCCCGCAGAAAAGCGGGGGUGCCCGAAAGGGAACGAUAACACAGGUGCUGCAUGGCUGUCGUCAGCUCGUGUCGUGAGAUGUUGGGUUAAGUCCCGCAACGAGCGCAACCCUUGUCAUUAAUUGCCAUCAUUUAGUUGGGCACUUUAAUGAGACUGCCGG
rnacentral:rRNA from 1 species